CAAGGCUGGUGCCGUGCAGAGCAGAAGUUUAUCUGGAGUGUGACAAAUGCAGAGAAAGCAGAAGAGACACUGUCCACUGGCAGAGACAGGGUCCCUGCUGGAGGACACUUCACACGACAGGACAGGAGCUGCUUUCUAAGCACAGCUGGCCACGGAUUGUUGGUGGAGGCUGACCAGGGCCUCGGCCUUUGUUUCUGGAAAGGGGCGAGGACCCACAGGAGUGCUGGGCAGCAGCGCUGGGCAGGAAAGCUGCUUUCUUGCAUUAUGGCUGUGAGAUUUUUAUUGAAAACAUGGCAAUAAGCAGAUCAGAAGGAAUCAGAUAAAGAAAGUACAUAAGUUUAAUGAACAAACACCAUGAUUGUCACAGAAUCCAGAUCUACAUCCAGCUUCGUUUCUCUCAGCAACCCUACAUGGUAGGAAUUAUCCUGAUGCUGUAAAUGAAGUUGCUUAGGGUUUAGAGAAAUCUAUGAAGUUUCUGGAAGUGUGCAGCUGCUUGAAUUCCAGACAGCUCUGUCUUGAGACAAAUUCCAGCGUACUGUACUUGGAUGAUAUUUCUGAAACACUAAAGUCCCUGCCCCCCUGUUUAUCCACCAUUUUCAGGGCCUGACCACGUCUGCAUGCCAAUCACACUACCAUUUGCUUCCUGUUUUCCUUGGACCCUUUUUUGUCUGUAUUUAGCUAAUCUUAAGCAACUGCACCCAUGAAAUUAUGGAUUGCCAUGUUAGUGUAGUGUCCUAAUGAAUAUUAAAAUGGAGACAUAGUUAUAGAAAUUUAAAAUGUGUCUGCCUAUCAUCUGGAUCUGGAGCACCGUCAGAGAUACAGACAGCUUCCAAAGCCAAAUGCUGCUGCUGGGAUGCUGCAGAUGUAGCAGCUGGGGUGCUGGGGUGGGGACAUGGGAGAGGGUCCUAUUUGUUCGCUUGCACUCAGUUUAAAGGAAAUAAACCAGUCUAUUUUGUCAAGAGGGAGCCUGACUCAUGUUCCCUGGAAAAAUUCCCACUGCACCAAAGAAGGACAUUUACAAAAUCUUCUCCUACAGUCAGCAAGACCUUGCAAGCAACCGAGCUGGAAUUAAACUCAGCUGAGGCUACAAAAUGCCACUGGUGUUAGACAAUUGAGGGUUUCUGCAGCAAGAACAGAAUUCAAGAAAAAAAAGCAAACCAAGUUGUUGGAAAGCACCUACGCUGAAAAGCACCCGGGACGGGAAAGCUAAGGGAAGCUUCCAGCCACCCCAGCUGGGCCUGCAGAACGGUUUCUAUUCUUUCCUGCCAGGGUUCUGGGAAGGAAGUGGCGGGGUUGUCUUUCUCAGUGUUUGAGUAGGAGGAACAAUACAGCUUUAUCAGAAAAAAUGUCAAAAGCUUUUCAGGGGAUUUUUUUUCCUCUGCUGUAAAACUGAAUUCAUACCUCUGUGAAAGAGCCUGGAUUUGGUUUGGUAGAUAACUCGGAGUGUUGUCCAAUGGAUUUGAAGAGAAAAAAAUAAAAGCCUCCGAAACUAUAA